UACGAAGGGGGCUAGCGUUGCUCGGAAUUACUGGGCGUAAAGCGCACGUAGGCGGCUUUCUAAGUCGGGGUGAAAUCCUGGAGCUCAACUCCAGAACUGCCUUCGAUACUGGAGAGCUUGAGUCCGGGAGAGGUGAGUGGAACUGCGAGUGUAGAGGUGAAAUCGUAGAUAUUCGCAAGAACACCAGUGGCGAAGGCGACUUACUGGACACAUAUUGACGCUGAGGUGCGAAAGCGUGGGAGCAACAGG
rnacentral:rRNA from 1 species